CUCCACUUCUAGCAGAUGCUACCUGGCCGGUUCAGUGUGUCUCAUGGUCUGCUGUUUAGUGCCUUUGUUCCUUCCCCUGCCCAACUCAGGAUUACACUGGAGGAAUAAAGCAGAGAAGCUCAGCUAUAAGCUAUUUCUACUCUCACAUAUACAAUGCCAAAAUAAACAAUGUGGAGACUAAACAGACAGCUACUCGGAAACUGAAGAUGAAUGUAUAAGCACCCAUCCUGGUUGGUAAUCAGCAGGGAGGAGGCAGAUCAAAUAAUUCGGACACUGAGAGAGCUGAGCGAAUCUUCCUUUCUACUUCCAAAAAUUAAAAUAUACCAUCAGGCAAACGCUGACAAAGGCAAGUUUCAGACAAGUAUCUGAAUUCUUAUUUAGAUCAGAUGUCAGGGUAGAAUACAACUUCGUAAGUGACCUAUUUGCUCACCCUUUGCCUAGAAGCAUUUCCAAAAAAAAUUUCACAUUAAAGUAUAGCAACAAAUGCUAAUAAUGUAAAUAGGAGAUUAAAGCAGUCACACAAAUAUGUCAGGAUAUUUAUAUUUAAAUUAACACUCACCUAUAUCUCACAACCUUUAAAUAGGAAAAUUGUCAUUAUCAGGUGUGGUAGUAAUGCCUGUCAUCCCAGUACUUACAAGGGUGAG